UACGUAGGUGGCAAGCGUUGUCCGGAUUUACUGGGCGUAAAGAGCGCGCAGGCGGUCGUUCAAGUCGCGUGUGAAAGCCCCCGGCUCAACUGGGGAGGGUCACGCGAUACUGGGUAGCUAGAGUACGAAAGAGGGUCGCGGAAUUCCCGGUGUAAAGGUGAAAUUCGUAGAUAUCGGGAGGAACACCGGUGGCGAAGGCGGCGACCUGGGUCGAUACUGACGCUGAGGCGCGAAAGCGUGGGGAGCAAACAGG
rnacentral:rRNA from 1 species